GGUCUUGACAUCCCGAUGCUAUUCUAGAGAUAGAAAGUUACUUCGGUACAUCGGUGACAGGUGGUGCAUGGUUGUCGUCAGCUCGUGUCGUGAGAUGUUGGGUUAAGUCCCGCAACGCGCGCAACCCCUAUUGUUAGUUGCCAUCAUUCAGUUGGGCACUCUAAGGUGACUGCCGGCUAAAAGUCGGAGGAAGUGGGGAUGACGUCAAAUCAUCAUGCCCCUUAUGACCUGGGCUACACACGUGCUACAAUGGUUGGUACAACGAGUUGCGAGUCGGUGACGGCGAGCUAAUCUCUUAAAGCCAAUCUCAGUUCGGAUUGUAGGCUGCAACUCGCCUACAUGAAGUCGGAAUCGCUAGUAAUCGCGGAUCAGCACGCCGCGGUGAAUACGUUCCCGGGCCUU
rnacentral:rRNA from 1 species